CCUACGGGAGACAGCAGUGAGGAAUAUUGGUCAAUGGGCGCGAGCCUGAACCAGCCAAGUCGCGUGAGGGAUGACGGUCCUACGGAUUGUAAACCUCUUUUGCCGGGGAGCAAGCGUGCGUUCGUGAACGCGCGUCGAGAGUACCCGGAGAAAAAGCAUCGGCUAACUCCGUGCCAGCAGCCGCGGUAAUACGGAGGAUGCGAGCGUUAUCCGGAUUUAUUGGGUUUAACGGGUGCGUAGGCGGGAUGCCAAGUCAGCGGUAAAAAUGCGGUGCUCAACGCCGUCGAGCCGUUGAAACUGGGGAUCUAGAGUGUGCGAGAGGUAUGCGGAAUGCGUGGUGUAGCGGUGAAAUGCAUAGAUAUCACGCAGAACCCCGAUUGCGAAGGCAGCAUACCGGUGCACAACUGACGCUCAGGCACGAAAGCGUGGGUAUCGAACAGGAUUAGAUACCCUUGUAGUC
rnacentral:rRNA from 1 species